rnacentral:rRNA from 1 species
GACGAACGCUGGCGGCGUGCCUAACACAUGCAAGUCGAGCGGGGUCCAUCCGGUAGCAAUACCGGGGAAGACCUAGCGGCGAACGGGUGAGUAACACGUGAGAAACCCUGCCCCGAAGUCUGGGAUAACCCGAGGAAACUCGAGCUAAUACCGGAUGUCUUCUUCUGAUCGCAUGGUCGGAUGAAGAAAAGAUUUAUCGCUUCGGGAGGGUCUCGCGGCCUAUCAGCUAGUUGGCGGGGUAACGGCCCCACCAAAGGCGUCGACGGGUAGGCUGGUCUGAGAGGACGAUCAGCCACACUGGGACUGAGACACGGCCCAGACUCCUACGGGAGGCAGCAGUUGGGGGAA